CAGCAGCAGCCGCGGUAAUACAGAGGGUGCGAGCGUUAAUCGGAUUUACUGGGCGUAAAGCGUGCGUAGGCGGCUAAUUGAGUCGGAUGUGAAAUCCCCGAGCUUAACUUGGGAAUUGCAUUCGAUACUGGUUAGCUAGAGUGUGGGAGAGGAUGGUAGAAUUCCAGGUGUAGCGGUGAAAUGCGUAGAGAUCUGGAGGAAUACCGAUGGCGAAGGCAGCCAUCUGGCCUAACACUGACGCUGAGGUACGAAAGCAUGGGGAGCAAACAGGAUUAGAUACCCCCGUAGUCCCUGUCUCUUAUAC
rnacentral:rRNA from 1 species